GUUUUCAAGCAGUAUUGUGUUCCUGUUGGUGAGUAAGGUGACCAGAGCUCCUGGAGGGAUUGGGGAUUGGGUCGGCAACGCGCUUGCGAUGCUUCUGGUGUUGCAGGCGUCUAUAAGCUACGGUAAUCGCUUACCAUCAGGUGAGCCGUACGCUUGUUUGCCGACCUAGUGACAUAAAAAAAAAAAAAAAAAAGGAGAAAAAAGAAAAAAAAAAAAAAAAAAAAAAAAAAAAAAAAAAAAAAAAAAAAAAAAAAAACCGUCGGCGUCGGGCCACGUCCUAGUUUUACUAGGCAGUCACAGGACUGUCGAUCUGUAGUAUAAUAAGUAGAAAAAUCGCCUGUAGUAUUAUAAUGCAUGCAUGAUAAACAAAGGCACGGGCAUUUUGAGCCCG
rnacentral:misc_RNA from 1 species